AGUAGUAAAAGCCCAGCUUGAAAAUGGAGAUGUAUGAAACCCUUGGAAAAGUGGGAGAGGGAAGUUACGGAACAGUCAUGAAAUGUAAACAUAAGAAUACUGGGCAGAUAGUGGCCAUUAAGAUAUUUUAUGAGAGACCAGAACAAUCUGUCAACAAAAUUGCGAUGAGAGAAAUAAAGUUUCUAAAGCAAUUUCAUCAUGAAAACCUGGUCAAUCUGAUUGAAGUUUUUAGACAGAAAAAGAAAAUUCAUUUGGUAUUUGAAUUUAUUGACCACACAGUAUUAGAUGAGUUACAACAUUAUUGUCAUGGACUAGAGAGUAAACGACUUAGAAAAUACCUCUUCCAGAUCCUUCGAGCAAUUGACUAUCUUCACAGUAAUAAUAUCAUUCAUCGCGAUAUAAAACCUGAGAAUAUUUUAGUAUCCCAGUCAGGAAUUACUAAGCUCUGUGAUUUUGGUUUUGCACGAACACUAGCAGCUCCUGGGGACAUUUAUACGGACUAUGUGGCCACACGCUGGUAUAGAGCUCCAGAAUUAGUAUUAAAAGAUACUUCUUAUGGAAAACCUGUGGAUAUCUGGGCUUUGGGCUGUAUGAUCAUUGAGAUGGCCACUGGAAAUCCCUAUCUUCCUAGUAGCUCUGAUUUGGAUUUACUCCAUAAAAUUGUUUUGAAAGUGGGCAAUUUGUCACCUCACUUGCAGAAUAUCUUUUCCAAGAGCCCCAUUUUUGCUGGGGUAGUUCUUCCUCAAGUUCAACACCCCAAAAAUGCAAGAAAAAAAUAUCCAAACCUUAAUGGAUUGUUGGCAGAUAUAGUUCAUGCUUGUUUACAAAUUGAUCCUGCUGACAGGAUAUCAUCUAGUGAUCUUUUGCAUCAUGAGUAUUUUACUAGAGAUGGAUUUAUUGAAAAAUUCAUGCCAGAACUGAAAGCUAAAUUACUGCAGGAAGCAAAAGUCAAUUCAUUAAUAAAGCCAAAAGAGAGUUCUAAAGAAAAUGAACUCAGGAAAGAUGAAAGAAAAACAGUUUAUACCAAUACACUGCUAAGUAGUUCAGUUUUGGGAAAGGAAAUAGAAAAAGAGAAAAAGCCCAAGGAGAUCAAAGUCAGAGUUAUUAAAGUCAAAGGAGGAAGAGGAGAUAUCUCAGAACCAAAAAAGAAAGAGUAUGAAGGUGGACUUUGUCAACAGGAUGCAAAUGAAAAUGUUCAUCCUAUGUCUCCAGAUACAAAACUUGUAACCAUUGAACCGCCAAACCCUAUCAAUCCCAGCACUAACUGUAAUGGCUUGAAAGAAAAUCCACAUUGCGGAGGUUCUAUGACAAUGCCACCCAUCAAUCUAACUAACAGUAAUUUGAUGGCUGCAAAUCUCAAUUCAAAUCUCUUUCACCCCAGUGUGAGGUUAACUGAAAGAGCAAAAAAGAGACGCACUUCUUCACAAUCUAUUGGACAAGUUAUGCCUAAUAGCAGGCAAGAGGAUCCAGGUCCUAUUCAAAGCCAAAUGGAGAAGGGUAUAUUUAAUGAGCGAACAGGUCACAGUGACCAAAUGUCUAAUGAGAACAAAAGGAAGCUGAAUUUUUCCAGAUCUGACAGGAAAGAAUUCCAUUUUCCAGAAUUGCCUGUCACAAUACAGCCAAAAGAUACGAAAGGAAUGGAAGUUAAACAGAUAAAAAUGCUGAAGAGGGAGUCAAAGAAAACAGAUUCAUCUAAGAUACCAACUUUACUUAAUGUGGAUCAAAAUCAAGAAAAACAAGAGGCUUCCACUGUUUGCAACAUCUUUCCUGGCUGGUGGAAGAAAGGCAGGCUCAACUGAUGGUCCUAAUCUCCAAUGGGGGCAACAAUAUUGCCCACCCCACAGGCUCUUUUGGAACUUUGCUACUCUAAAGCUGAAAAAUUCUGGAUUAUCCUCCAAGAUGUAACUAAACCAUCAGCUUCUGUGGAAAUACUUCCCCAGCUUCCCCAAGCAACAAGGCCAUCCCUCUUCUGUGCAUAUUUAAUAAAUAAUUUGUUUGCCUGUUGGACUAUGUGUCUCCCCUCAGCACAAGCUCGGUGAACUGUGUAGUAUGCAACUUCAGGCUUCCCCUCCUUUCCCAGCACCCCUCUCUACCACCUCUCCACCACCUCUCCCUCACAUGCAUUCCUAUGCCUGCCGUGGGGUAAUUGCUAAUUAAAUGUUGAUUGCUGAAAUAGAGAGCUAUGGAGGUUCAGGAAUGGUCUUCUAGAUUUCCCAGAGCUGGGACUCAAACCCCUUUUUGGAUCUCUGAUGCCUGAGAUAAUCUGAUGAAAGUUAAGAACUUUUCCCCAGAAAAAAAAGCACAGGCAAAAGAAAAUUCCCAAUUGUACAGACUAAAUAGCCAUACUAACACAUAUACAAUUAUGUGCAUGUAAAACUGGGGAAAUCUGGAUAAGAUAGGUGAAUUGAAUCAAUAUCAGUUUCCAAGUUGCGAUAUGGUACUAUAAUACCGCAAGAUGUUACCACUGAGAAACUGGGAUCUCCCUGUAUUAUUUCUUAUAAAUGUAUGUGAAUCUAA